rnacentral:rRNA from 1 species
GACGAACCGUGCGACCGUUGUUCGGAUUCACUGGGCUUAAAGGGCGCGUAGGCGGGCGAUCAAGUCAGGGGUGAAAUCUUUCGGCUCAACCGGAAAAGUGCCCCUGAUACUGAUUGUCUCGAGGGAGGUAGGGGCAUGUGGAACUUCCGGUGGAGCGGUGAAAUGCGUAGAUAUCAUGAGGAAUACCAGAGGCGAAGGCGGCUACCUGGACAAUUGCUGACGCUCAGGCACGAAAGCGUGGGGAGCAAAAGGG